GUCCAGCCAGCCUUGCGCCUGCGAGCGGGCCCGUGAGGGUUGCUCGGAGCUGCUGACGGAUCUCGGGGACCGCAGCGCCCGGACGCCGGACACACUCUCCGGCCCGAGGACAAGGUUUGGGGGACAAGCAUGCAUUUUCGCACACUGGACUUUUUCUUACCGUUUUGCAAGUAUUAGUGGUUUCCUGCAAGACGCACCUUCCCGAAAUAGUGCGGUGCUUUAGCGUGACGUUCCUCCCGUGCCAAGCGAUGUAUUAAACUUGGACCUUCUAAGCUACCCCGUUCUUGAUCGCGCCAAGCUCUUCAUAGGCUCGUUAUACCGUGGCUCGUUAGCAGACAAACAAACAGCUAUCCUAAUUCCUUUAAGGAAAACUGGCCCGCGCAGACUCCCCAGAUGUCAAUUCGAAGAAUGUCGACCACCUUUUAGGGUUCCUAGGGGAAGACUUUGAAGCUCAAGUUGCAAGCUUGGGAGAAAUACUUUCCUUAGAGACGUGUGGGUGCAAGCUUUGCCAGGUCACGAGCAACACAAAGGACGCCUCCGGAGCCACGUCUUAAUUUCCUGUUGAAUGAUAGGUGCCAGUACGGUUUUGAACCAGAAAUGAAAAUCGACUCAGAUGAAAACUUCAAGUUUUAGAAUGCAGAUUAGUCAGAAAACAAACAGAAUCUGGAAACGAUGCCUCUUCUGUUACCAACGUACGUGCUCCCAGACCUAAAUUCUGUGUCAGGUCCUAACCCCGGGUGGUCACAGCGACAGUCGUCGUGGGCCCGUGAAUCAAGCGCACUGAAGAAGCUGGACAGUUCCUGCUCAUGGGCCUUUCUCUCCUGUGGCUAAUGUCCUCUGAGCUAAAAUCAGCUCCUCUCUUUGGAAAACCUUGCAACAGAAGGAGGAUGGACCCCACCCAGAAACUGGUUCUGAUGUUGAGACGGAUGACACCACCAUCACGCCAAGGUGAACUUGGACGGAAGCAUCUGCACCAAUCCAUAGAGUGGGGACCACCCUGCCAGCCGUGGGCUCAGGCGCCAGGCCCCAGCCAUGAAAGUUCUUGCCUCCAAGCACCUGUCAUCCAGGUGGGGAGGGAAAGUGGAGACGGAUGACUGAUCUUCUCCUCUGGGCCAGACGGGAAUCCAGGAAGCGACUUCCUUCCUGUCCUCCACCGCCCGGCUCCUUCUUCUAGUCCGAGUUGUGCUUACUCUUUUUGUCACCCUCUUAUGUGUGUCUUAAGCACAUAUAUCUCCAUUUUUUCCUCUUUAAAUUUUUUAUGUUAACACAAAUGUUGCCACCUCCUUCCCCCAGUUCUCUGCCCAGCCAGUCAAUGGUUUUGAAUCCCUGAUGCGUCCAUUUCUGCUCGCUAGUUAUUCUUCAUGGAAACGGUAUGAACAGAUCAGUAAAAGUCACAGCAGCGUUUUGUUCAAUUCAUCAUAACAAGUUACACUGGCCAUGUUUCAUAGCUUAGUGAUAGAACAUUUUGGUUGUGGAGUUUCUCCGGAGCUCUCCCAUACCUUUUUUCAUAUAUUUAAAAUUCCUAAUCAACUAUACCUCAAUAAAAUUAAAAAAAAAUA